rnacentral:rRNA from 1 species
UCGCUGACGAGUGGCGGACGGGUGAGUAAUGCUUGGGAACUUGCCUUUGCGAGGGGGAUAACAGUUGGAAACGACUGCUAAUACCGCAUAACGUCUACGGACCAAACGGGGCUUCGGCUCCGGCGCAAAGAGAGGCCCAAGUGAGAUUAGCUAGUUGGUAAGGUAAAGGCUUACCAAGGCAACGAUCUCUAGCUGUUCUGAGAGGAAGAUCAGCCACACUGGAACUGAGACACGGUCCAGACUCCUACGGGAGGCAGCAGUGGGGAAUAUUGCACAAUGGGGGAAACCCUGAUGCAGCCAUGCCGCGUGUGUGAAGAAGGCCUUCGGGUUGUAAAGCACUUUCAGUUGUGAGGAAAAGUUAGUAGUUAAUACCUGCUAGCCGUGACGUUAACAACAGAAGAAGCACCGGCUAACUCCGUGCCAGCAGCCGCGGUAAUACGGAGGGUGCGAGCGUUAAUCGGAAUUACUGGGCGUAAAGCGCACGCAGGCGGUUUGUUAAGCUAGAUGUGAAAGCCCCGGGCUCAACCUGGGAUGGUCAUUUAGAACUGGCAGACUAGAGUCUUGGAGAGGGGAGUGGAAUUCCAGGUGUAGCGGUGAAAUGCGUAGAUAUCUGGAGGAACAUCAGUGGCGAAGGCGACUCCCUGGCCAAAGACUGACGCUCAUGUGCGAAAGUGUGGGUAGCGAACAGGAUUAGAUACCCUGGUAGUCCACACCGUAAACGCUGUCUACUAGCUGUUUGUGACUUUAAGUCGUGAGUAGCGAAGCUAACGCGAUAAGUAGACCGCCUGGGGAGUACGGCCGCAAGGUUAAAACUCAAAUGAAUUGACGGGGGCC